CAAAACUCUUCGCGAAUCUCUGCCUCCCUCUCACUCUUGAGUCUGAGGAGUUACCAGCUUAAGCUCUACGGCCUCAUUCAGGAAAAGUGGAGCAAUGAAAUUGUGGACUAGGGUAUUCUAGAGAAAUCUGGAUUUGAUAGCCAGAGAAGGGAUUGAUCAAAACGAGGCUGUGACGGGAUUGCUGGAUGGGGAAUAGGCUUCAGCAUAGAUGCCAGAGUGUUCUUGAGAGGAUUAGGAAUUUAAAGAGUAUGUUUCUGUGAGCUUGAAAGAAAAAGGUUGCCUGGACUUUUUUCAGGUGAUUGUUGUCUGAGACUGAGAGUAUUGUAAGAGAGGAUGAUCUCUUAGCUCAAAUAGAGUAUUGAAGCUCAGUAUGGAGAGGGGAUUUGAGGGUUUAUGUCUUUUUCUUAUUUUAUCAAGAGGUUGAUUUCUAAACCAAAACUAGGGCUGAAUUUUGAUGGGACUUCCAACUGGGAAAGUGAUGCUGAGCAGACCUAGACAGACACUCACACAAAGCUCACUAAAGAAUGGGACUGUGCUUGGUCACUUAUUGGUUUCCCAACAAAAAUUAUAUUUGGCUUGUUUUGACCAAUCUCCUAUUUGCAUUGCUAUAAAUUUGAGAUACACUUUGCACCGA